rnacentral:rRNA from 1 species
UGGGGAAUAUUGCACAAUGGGCGAAAGCCUGAUGCAGCGACGCCGCGUGCGGGAUGAAGGCCUUCGGGUUGUAAACCGCUUUUAAUUGGGAGCAAGCGAGAGUGAGUGUACCUUUUGAAUAAGCACCGGCUAACUACGUGCCAGCAGCCGCGGUAAUACGUAGGGUGCAAGCGUUAUCCGGAAUUAUUGGGCGUAAAGAGCUCGUAGGCGGUUUGUCACGCCUGGUGUGAAAGUCCAUCGCUUAACGGUGGAUCUGCGCCGGGUACGGGCAGGCUAGAGUGCAGUAGGGGGAG